GUUUUAUUCCUCUGGACAUCAUUUGUUUCUAGACUCAACAACUGCAACAUCCACAAACACUACUAUUCAUGAGGAUGAUUCUGAAACAAUGAUCAAAGAAUUGCUGGAGACUCAAAUUCGACCAGCAGUGCAAGAUGAUGGUGGGGAUAUUGAAUAUCGGGGAUUUGAUCCGAAUACUUAAAUUGAAAAUGCAAGGAGCAUGCAGUGGCUGCCCCAGCUCAUCUGUUACUUUAAAGUCAGGCAUUGAAAAUAUGCUAAUGCAUUACGUUCCAGAGGU